rnacentral:rRNA from 1 species
UACGGAGGGAGCUAGCGUUGUUCGGAAUUACUGGGCGUAAAGCGCACGUAGGCGGCUUUUUAAGUCAGGGGUGAAAUCCCGGGGCUCAACCCCGGAACUGCCCUUGAAACUGGAAAGCUAGAAUCUUGGAGAGGCGAGUGGAAUUCCGAGUGUAGAGGUGAAAUUCGUAGAUAUUCGGAAGAACACCAGUGGCGAAGGCGACUUACUGGACACAUAUUGACGCUGAGGUGCGAAAGCGUGGGGAGCAAACAGG